GGCUUUGCAGGUGACAAUUUGGAAGACUAUAUUUGUGUGUUUCAGGUCAUUCUGCAUUUAUCAUGCAGUGUGAUGUCACCCAAGAAUCUAACAUUAGACAGAAAAAAGGUGGCCAAUGGCCUUUGGUGUAAAAAAAUGGUAAUUAGUAGGUUAAAUUCAGUCUUCUAUGCAUCUGUUCCUUCACUGGACCGACAGGAAUAUUCUACAAAGUUAACUUACUUGGAUGGAAAUCUCUUUGGGAAAGGGAUUAUAAGAAGUCACACAGUCUCACUACGUCUAAAUUCAGAGGGGGAGCCUCUUAUUUUUUAUUGUUUGGAGGUAUAUGAAUGUAUAUAAUUAAUGUGCCUAUACUUUGUAGGAGAGUCAGAGCUGCAGUUAUAUAAUGAAUAGGUUAGAGGAGAGGAAAACUGUAUUUCCACCAAUCCUGCUACUUGGGUAUUCAAGGAAGAUGAGCUACGUUCUUCAAACUGGCAGUUCCCCAAGAGUCAGAACUCCGAGCUCUGAACAGAAGAAACAGUCUUAGAUUUUUGUAUGGCGUAUUCAUGUGUUUAACUCAUCUCUGUCAUGUUUAUCUCGUGCAGAUUGCGUUGCAGGCAGUCGCUGCUCACGUAUGUGUUGCUUUUCUCCCCCAUUAUGUAUGCAAUGUGUGCAUGAGCAGAGUUUUGCAGAACAGGUGGGAAUGACACAGCCAUGUGUUGCAAGUAUAUUCAUAGACUACGGAGCCAAGAGGGAGGGCUGCAACAGCCUAAUCUGACUUCUUAUAUAAUGCUGUUCUGUAUGUGCAUAUAAUAGUUGCAGAAGAAAAAUCCCAUUUUGAUUUAAACAUUUUUUUUCUUUAGCUAUGUUAAUCAGCAGUCCUCAAUACUGAGGGCUUGUUUCUUCUGCAAUAAUAAACAGUUUAACUGUUGAAGCAGGGGGUUACUGGUGGGGUGUUGAAUUUUAAAAAAUGCCCACCCCAUCAGUGACUGGAUUCCUCUCCAGGCCCAUGCAUGUGCCAUUGACCACUUGCUCCUCAUAGUCUGUGCAGUUGAAAGUCUUUCCUUCAAACUUCUUGCCAUUUUGUUUUCAUUUUCUUCAGCUCUCUUGUAACAGGCCUCUUAGAUUUUACCUACUGUCACAUUUUCUUUCACCCUCUGAGCUGACGAUCCAGUCUUUAUUCCUCCAACGAUUUGGCUUCUGCUUCUAAUUUUCAGCUGUAAUUCUAUUUCCUUUCACUCUGUUCUUUGUAUCCAACCUCUAUUUUUCCCCCCAGCCUUAGUUCUGUACAUCAAAGGAAGAAAAAAUUGCCUUCCAUAUCUGUCUUUAAAUAGUGCAUAGCUUUGUCCAUUUUCAGACAAGCAUUUUAGGAUCCAGCCUUGCAGAUGAUCCCGAAGAAGAUGCUAAGAAAACAGCCUGCACUCUGGAUAUGUUUGUGGAUGAGUAUCCCGAAACCUUUCUGGUACGAGGGAGCUGGGGCCAGCCACUAGAAGGCAACGUGAUCCCACAAACAGCCAAAGGUUCUGCAGGCACCUGCCACUGGCCGGAGGCUGGGAGAGAUGCCACAGUGUCCUUCAGAGCACGUCUUGUUCAACAGCACGAAGGGGAGGGAAAACAAAAAACCAGAGGGGAAAUACCCUGGCAGCAGUUUACAGUGGACAUCACAGUUACUGGCAGCAGUGGUAACUUCCUUGGAGGUCUCAGAAAGGACGCAAAGACCUAAAUUACCAGCACCUUCAACCCACCCCCAGUGUCUUCAGAACAGUCCACCAACUGCUACAUUACCUCCAUUAAAAGAAAUUCAAGCUUACCUACAGCAGCCCACUUAGAACACGUCUGUUAAAGCUGCUUCUCAGUGAUGAGCUGUUCCUUUCCAAAAACCUAGGCUAAACCAGCAGCUGUACUUCUCAGGUAGGGAUGGUGCCUCUUACACGAUCGCUCUGCUCUCUUACCCAGGACAAACCAGAAAUGAAUUAUAGCUUCAGCUGAAGCUAAAAACCCCAAAUAAACUGGCUUGUCUGGACUCCAGGGCACGGGAGCUGAGUAUGCAAGACUUACCUGGGUCACUUUUGGGGUGGCCCUGCCCCUUGCAGCCACUGCUGUGUUUAAACGCACCCCACCCCCCUUGCUCCUCACCCCUUUCCAAGCCGCAGCGAUUGUGCCGCCCACGUGAACCUACAUACAGCUGUAACCACUUCAACGCGAAACAAGAAUCCCCACGACGACAGAAAUAUCUAUUUCGUCAUUCAGAAGGAGCUGCAUCUAUUUAUUUUGGUUAUCUCUACCAGUAGGUGU